rnacentral:rRNA from 1 species
CGUAGGGUGCGAGCGUUAAUCGGAAUUACUGGGCGUAAAGCGUGCGCAGGCGGUUUAGUAAGACAGGCGUGAAAUCCCCGGGCUCAACCUGGGAACUGCGCUUGUGACUGCUAAGCUAGAGUACGGCAGAGGGGGUGGAAUUCCACGUGUAGCAGUGAAAUGCGUAGAGAUGUGGAGGAACACCAACGGCGAAGGCAGCCCCCUGGGUCGAUACUGACGCUCAUGCACGAAAGCGUGGGUAGCAAACAGGAUUAGAUACCCUGGUAGUCCACGCCCUAAACGAUGUCAACUAGGUGUUGGGAGGGUAAAACCUUUUAGUACCGGAGCUAACGCGUGAAGUUGACCGCCUGGGGAGUACGGCCGCAAGGUUA